rnacentral:lncRNA from 1 species
CGGUCCGUUUUUAUGAUCCCCGACUUUGCGUAUUAUCUCUAAAUUCCUUUGGUCUAUUUUUUUGAUCCCCGACUUUGCGUAUUAGCUCUAAGUUCUUUCAUUCGUUUUUAUGAUCCCCGACUUUGCGAAUUAGCUCUAAGUUCUUUCGGUCCGUUUUUAUGAUCCCCGACUUUGCGUAUUAGCUCUUUAGUUCUUUCGGUCGUUUUUAAGAUCCUCGACUUUUCGUAUUAGCUCUAAGUUCUUUCGGUCCGUUUUUAUGAUCCCCGACUUUGCGUAUUAGCUCUAAGUUCUUUCGGUCCGUUUUUAUGAUCCCCGAUUUUGCGUAUUAGCUCUAAAUUCUUUCGGUCUGUUUUCAUGAUCCCCGACUUUGCGUAUUAGCUCUAAGUUCUAUCGGUCGUUUUUAUGAUCCCCGACUUUGUGUAUUAGCUCUAAGUUCUAUCGGUCCGUUUUUAUGAUCCCCGACUUUGCGUAUCAGCUCUAAGUUCUUUUGGUCGUUUUAUGAUCCCCGACUUUGCGUAUUAGCUCUAAAUUCUUUCGGUCCGUUUUUA